AUGGCAAAAACAACUGAUACUCUCAAUUCUGCUGUUGCGUCACAAAAUCAAAACAUAGAUACUGACACAUCAGUGUUGACAACAGUGAUCAAAGAACAAGUGGUGGAGAUUCCCACUGUUGUUUCUGUGGUAGUGACACCAGCUACACCUCUAGAUGAAACACCCGUUGUAACUCUAGGCAAUGAGUCAAAGGAUAUACCUCCAGUAAAAGACACACCUGCUGUGACUGAAGCAGUAGAAACACCAAAUGUUGAAUCAGUGAUUGUGAGGACUGCUGUGGCCCCAGCAGUAGAGAUACAUAAUGUGAUUCCAGUGGUAGCAACACCAGAUCUUGGUUCAGUAAUAGUAAUAGAAGCUGCAUUUCCAGUAAUAAGUACAGCAACAGUGACUACAGUAGCAGAAGCAACAGUUUUGAGCACAGUUGUAGAAACACCUGUUUUUUCUGUCACAGCAGUAAAAUCUUCUCCAGCUGUGGUAGAGAAAACAGCUGUUUCACCUGUAGUAGAAAUCCCAGCCACAGUAACAUCUAUUGUGCAGACUCCAGCUGUUGUUUCAGUGGCAGAGAAUGUACCUCCAGAAGAGGUUACACUAGAUGUGACCCCAUUUGCAGAAACACCUGUGAGCCAAGUAAUUGAAACUCCCAUUGUUUCCAUCACUUCAGUAAAACCAACUGUACCUGCAGUGACAAAGACACCAGUCACUGAGAUACCAGCUAUGAUUUCAGUGACAGUAGCAGAAGCUGUAUCUCCUGUAGUAGUUACAUCAGCUGGAACUCCAGUAGAACCAGAAACAAUUAUGAUCCCAGAAGUAGAAACUUCAGUAGUAACUUCAACUGUAGAGACAUCACUUGUGACACUAGUGGUACAAACACCAGCUCAGAUUUCAAUAAUUGCAACAGAUGCAGGACCUCCAGUUACACCACCAGCAACUGCAGCAUCAGAAACAUCAGCUGUGAUCCCAGCUGUAGAAACUCCUGUUGUAAAGUCAUCUCCAGUUGCAGUGGAUGAGACUCCAGUUGUGACCCCAGUGGUACAGACACCAGGUCAGGUUUCAGUGAUGGUAACAAAGACUGUCCCUCCGCCAGUUGUUUCAGCAGAGACUGCAGAGGUAGAAACAUCUGUUGAGAUCCCAGUACUAGAAACUCCCGUUGUAAGGUCAACUCCAGUUGCAGUGGUUGAGACACCAGUUGUGACCCCAGUGGUACAGACACCAGGUCAGGUUUCAGUGAUGGUAACAGAGAUUGCACCUCCAGUAGCUGUUUCAGCAGUGGCUGCAACAGUAGAAACACCUGUUAUGAUCCCAGUAGUAGAAAGCCCAUUAGUAAAGCCAGCACCAGUUGCAGUGGUUGAGACACCAGUUGUGACCCCAGUGGUACAGACACCAGGCCAGGUUUCAGUUAUGGUAACAGAAACUGCCCCUCCAGUAGUUGUUACUGCAGUGACUGCAACAGUAGAAACACCUGUUGUGAUUCCAGUAGUAGAAACACCUGUUGUAAAGUCAACUGCAGUUGCAGUGGUUGAGACACCAGUGAUGACCCCAGUGGUACAGACACCAGGUCAGGUUUCAGUGAUGGUAACAGAGAUUGCACCUCCAGUAGCUGUUUCAGCAGUGGCUGCAACAGUAGAAACACCUGUUAUGAUCCCAGUAGUAGAAAGCCCAUUAGUAAAGCCAGCACCAGUUGCAGUGGUUGAGACACCAGUUUUGACUCCAGUGGCACAGACACCAUGUCAGGUUUUAGUGGCAGUAACAGAGGCUGCACCUCCAGUAGUUGUUUCAACAGUGACUGCAGCAGCAGAAACACCUGCUGUGAUCCCAGUAGUGGAAACUCCAACUCCAGUUGUUGUGGCAGAGACACCAGUUGUAACCCCAGUGAUGAUGACACCAACUAUGAUUCCAAUAGCGGAAAGGUCAGUUGUGAGCCUAGUAAUAGAAACUACUGCAGAAGCGCCAACUGCAAUUGCAAUGGCAAUGGCAGAGAGACCUGUUAUGAUCCCAGUGGUACAGACACCAGCUCUGGUUUCAGUGAUUGCAAAAGAGGCUGCACCUCCAGUAAUUCUACCAGCAGAGACUGCAGGAGCAGAAACAUCAGUUGUGAGCCCAACAGUAAAGGUAAACCCACCGGUGGCAGAGACACCAGUUCCAGCAGCAGAAGCACCUUCUGUGAUCCCAGCAGUACAAACACCAGUUGCAGAACAGGUAGCACAGACACCAACAACAGCAGCCAUGCCCUUGGUAAAGGCAACAUCAUUUGUGACUGGGAUGGAGGCACCCGCUGUGACUACAGUAGCCCCUUUGAUGAUGAUACCAGCUAUUACCCCAGUUGUAGCUCCACCUGUUGUGACACCAGAAGUAAAGAAAGCAAUGUUGCAGGUAGUUGAACAGGAGAAAAAGGAAGCAAAGGCAGAGGCUUCAGUUGUGUCUAAAGAUGUUGAACCACCAUUUUUGGUUGCGAAAGAGGUAAAGACAUCAGUUUUAACUGAAGAGUGUGUAUCAGAUGAAGAAAAUAGGAAGGCUUCCUUGCAGCAUGAGCCUGUGGUUACUUCAACAGAACCUCAGUCAGAGGUAGAGGAGGAUGUGUGGGAGGAUGCUGUAGAUAAUAUUGGAGAUUCCCCGUGCCAGAUGACAUACACAGAGGGUGCACCCCAAGAUACUGCUGCUAAACAAGCAUCUGAUGCUGCAAUUUGA
ensembl:lncRNA